UACGUAGGGUGCGAGCGUUAAUCGGAAUGACUGGGCGUAAAGGGUGCGCAGGCGGCCUGUUAAGACAGAGGUGAAAUCCCCAGGCUCAACCUGGGAACUGCGUCUGAUACUGGAUGGCUUGAAUCCGGGAGAGGGAUGCAGAAUUCCAGGUGUAGCGGUGAAAUGCGUAGAUAUCUGGAGGAAUACCGGUGGCGAAGGCGGCAUCCUGGACCGGCAUUGACGCUGAGGAGCGAAAGCUAGGGGAGCAAACGGG
rnacentral:rRNA from 1 species